UACAGAGGGUGCAAGCGUUAAUCGGAAUUACUGGGCGUAAAGCGCGCGUAGGUGGUUCGUUAAGUUGGAUGUGAAAGCCCCGGGCUUAACCUGGGAACUGCGUUUGAAACUGGGAGACUUGAGUGUGGCAGAGGGGGGUGGAAUUCCACGUGUAGCAGUGAAAUGCGUAGAUAUGUGGAGGAACACCGAUGGCGAAGGCAGCCCCCUGGGUUAACACUGACGCUCAUGCACGAAAGCGUGGGGAGCAAACAGG
rnacentral:rRNA from 1 species